GGUUGAUGUUCCAGGAGGGAUAAGCCAAAUGGCAAAUGAUUAGACAUUGCAUACCUAGAUUUGCGGCGCAUGCACAUACAGCCGGUGACGUCAGAAGAGGGUGGAGAGUCCAAGUACCAAGGUAAGGGAUUAACCCCUUCCCCCCCUUCAGCGCCACAGGAGUGGGACCCUGAGGCUGGGCGCACCCUCAGGGCACGAUAGUGCCAGGAAAACGAGUAUGUUUUCCUGGCACUAUAGUGGUCCUUUAAGUAAGUGUUUUAUUGCUUAGGUCUUGAUAUAAC